rnacentral:rRNA from 1 species
UACGAAGGGGGCUAGCGUUGUUCGGAAUUACUGGGCGUAAAGCGCACGUAGGCGGAUUUGUAAGUCAGGGGUGAAAUCCCGGGGCUCAACCUCGGAACUGCCUUUGAUACUGCAAGUCUCGAGUCCGAUAGAGGUGAGUGGAAUUCCACGUGUAGCGGUGAAAUGCGUAGAGAUGUGGAGGAACACCAAUGGCGAAGGCAGCCUUCUGGGCCAACACUGACGCUCAUGCACGAAAGCGUGGGGAGCAAACAGG